rnacentral:rRNA from 1 species
ACACGACUACAUUAGAUACCCCGGUAGUCCAGGGUGUAAACGCUGCGGGCUUGGUGUUGGGGGUCCUUUGAGGGCGCCCAGUGCCGGAGAGAAGUUGUUAAGCCUGCUGCUUGGGGAGUACGUCCGCAAGGAUGAAACUUAAAGGAAUUGGCGGGGAGCACCACAAGAGGUGGAGGCUGCGGUUCAAUUGGACUCAACGCCGGAAAACUCAUCGGGAGCGACAGCAGUAUGAUUGCCAGGUUGAUGACCUUGCUUGACAAGCUG